UUAUUUCAUAAGGCACAGGUGCAUUGGUAUCUUUGAUUAUCAUUGUUAUAUCCCGUAUUUUUGCACGUUGGAUUAUUCGUAAGCUAAUCGACAUAAGUUUAAGGACAAGAUUAUUUUUGAGAUAUGAGAUAAGGACUUUUAAUCCCGAUUUUAAUAAGUGCACGAUUUGCUUGUAAAUUAUAAUUAGUGUGGAAAUAUUAGUGGAGAUUAGGGAUUAACUAACCAUGAUUAGAUUAUUAAGUGGGGAUUUAUAAUUAAUUAAGCAAAAUAUUUUUGGACCAUUGUUAAUGUGAUCAGCAGCAACACGGGAUAGAGACACAUAAGGACGCAUACAUGCAAUGAAAGUAAUUUUUUUGUUUCGCUGGAGACUUUGAGUGUGCAAGCUGGCACACCUAUAUUCAACACCAAAUGACAAUCCUUAUAUUUCGUACAUGUGUAUUACUUGGUCAUAAAAGGGAAUUAUGAGAUCAACUUUUGUCAUUUAGUAGAAACCCACUUUACGUUAACCUUUAUUAAAGAAACCAAAGGCUAUUUCAUGUGUCAAAGUCCUCAUGUUUUUUAGACACAAACAAAACAAAGGGCUAGGUGAUAGUAGUUGAGAGGGAUCAUGUUACAUCCCGUAUUUUCAUAUAUUGGAAAGCGUGCGAGUUAAAUGAUAUUAGUAAUGAAAACGAGGUUAUCCUUCCAAUCUUAUGGGUGGUUGUAGUGAUGGCACAUAUGUGUUAUGAAGUUAAACAAAUCUAAGAAAAUAAGUUUUGUCGAGGUUCGAAAUUUAUUUGACGAAAUAUGGUCCAAGCUAUAAUAUCCCGUAUUGUUGGACUAGAAAAAUUUAAUCGUCCAAUAUGAGCAAAAUUACCCGAGCCCGGAGAAUUCGAUGAUAUUCAAGGAUGAAAAUCGAGAGCUCGGUGUACAAAGAGUUUGAGGUCCCGAAAUAAUUUAGGACUUAACAAGUGUGACCAGGGUGACUGAGAAUAAUAUUUUAUGUGUACCAAAAGGGACUAUGGACUAGUGCUAUGUCACAUAAUCAUGGCAAUGAGUAUAUGAAGUGUAUUAAAAAUAAUAAUUAUUAAAGUGAAUUGAGAUCAAGAAAUUAAUUAAGAUCAUUGAAUAAAUAUUACGGGGGCAUAAUUAUCGUGGGAAAGUGUAAAGAUUGAUGAGUCCAUACGGGCCAUGACAAAAAACAAAUAUAAAGCAAUGCAUGGCUGUCCUAUAUACUAUUUGGUGGGUGGACACGUUGGGACAAUUAUGCUUAGUAAGCAAGAAUGAGGGGGGCAGGACCCCACGACUCCAUGGAAAAAGGUGGCAUUAAAAUAUGCAGAUGGGAGUGAUGAGUCAUGCACAUUAAAGUGCAUAUUGACACGUACAAAAGAAAGGAUGCUGAAUCCCUUUCUCCUUUUAGGCAUUCAAACUUAAAUCUUUCCCAUUUUGCUAUAACAACAAACGUACAACACCAUUAUUUUGACCGUUCUCUUUAGCUAAUUAUUUUGUUGUUUCAUUAUGCAAGGAAGCAACAACGUGACUUCCAUUUAUAUGGAAACAACGCAGUUUUGAAUUGAUAUAGUACCAACGUGACUUGGUAUUUUACGGAAGAAAAAUGUAAUUUUUUUCUCAAGAAUAAUAUUCGGGUUUUGCUCACCACUCCGAUCUUGUUGUUCCGUCUUAUCGUGUUGUUGAAUCCGGGCUUUCUUCGUAGUGAAGUAAGGUGGAAGAAGAUUAUUUCUUGGAAUAUAAGAUUGGCGAAGCCCGAGACCUAAGUUAUGGUUAACUUGAGAAGCGAAAAGGUACAGAUACUCGAUUUGGUGAUCCUCCAGCUUAGGAUUUCUACUCAGCUGUCUUGGAGAGCUCCAUUGUUUCGGAGCCUAGACUUUUGGUACAGAUCUUUUGAUGUAUAUAUAUAUAUAUAUAUAUAUAUAUAUAUAUAUAUAUAUAUAUAUAUGUUUAUCCAGAGGUAAGACGGGGCCCUGUCCCGUCAUAUUUCACUAUCGAUACUCUUAGAGGUCUGUAGACACAUAUGUGGGUUGUGUAUAAGUUUUGUUCAGCUGUGUUUAUACGAUGUGCUAUGGAUAUGUUCGUCUGUUAUGACAGCCUUGUCGGCUUGCGUAUGGCAUUGAUAUGUAGUGGCAGCCUUAUCGGCUUGCGUAUCAUAUUGACAUGUGGUGGCAGCCUUGUAUAUAUAUAUAUAUAUAUAUAUGAUGACGUUAUGAUUUGGAGUUCUUUUGUAAGUUUCCAUAUUCUUCUUAGAUUCAGUUUGACUAUAUCUAACAGGUAUGUAUACGAGUGUCCAACUCGGGCACUAGUCAUGGCCCACGGGGCUGGGUCGUGACAAUCAUACUUGCCUCCUGUAAUCUUUUAUUCAGUUAUGAUUUUCUUUAUUGUAUUUCAUGCUUUAUAUACUCAGUACAUAUUUCGUACUGACCCCCUUUCUUCGGGGGGGGGGGGGGGGGCUGCGUUUCAUGCCCGCAGGUAUAGACACUCAGUUUGGCGAUCCUCUAGCCCAGGACUUCUGCUCAGUUGUUUGGAGAGCUCCAUUGUUUCGGAGCCUAGAUUAUUUUGGUACAGAUCUUUUGAUGUAGACUUAUGCAUAUCCAAGGGUAAGGCGGGGCCCUGUCCCGUCCUAUUUUACCUUGUUACUCUUAGAGGUCUGUAGACAUGUGUGGGUUGUACAUAGGUUUUAGUCAGCUGUGUCAAUAUGGUUUGUUUUGGAUAUUCCCGUAUAUAGUGGCAGCCUUGUCGGCUUGCGUAUUGUGUUAUGCUUUGAUCAGCUGUGACUCCUCAGGAGACAGGUUUAUGAUGAUAUAUGGCAUUGUGAAUCUUUAGUUGCUUUGACAAGUUUCCAUUCCGUCCUUAGUUUCAGUUUGACUAUAUCUAACAGGUUCGUGUACGAGUGUUCAGGUUGGGCACUAGUCAUGCCCCAUGGGGUUGGGUCGUGACAUGUAUGCCUAAAAUAAGAUUCAAUUUGUUUUAAAUCUGGACCUAAUUUGAUUUGAGCAUAAUAGUAAUGUUUCUAUGGAAAAAACAUAUUGAAUUAGAAAGGCCUCCUUUUCUCUUUUGUUCCUAGAAUAAAUCUUCUUAGUUUCCUUUUAAUAGUUGUUCGUUUAACAUAAGUUCCAAAAUUAUUUCUUAUCCCUAAUGAUUUUGGCUAUAUUUUGAACCUGUUCAGAUAUUCUCAAAAUCUGAAAUUUACCCCUUUGUCAUCCUGACUUAUUUCCAAAAUGAGUUUAAGUUAGGAUAAUCCUUCAAUGUGAUAUACUUGAUAUUCUACUUAAUGUUAUCUUGUUUAAGAUUUGCCAUUCUCGAUACUCAUUCUUUACUCUCUUUCUUUCCUGGUAUGGUCUGAGGCCAAUGGAGUAAAGCACCAAGAAUAUAUGGCAUCUGGAUGUCACAAGCUAUGACACUCCUUGAGCAGUGAUAACAGUUGUGGCUGGCCACAGUAGUUCAGUUCCCAUUUGUUAUUUUUUAUUGACUGAUGUUAUGUUACAAGAGUGGCUGUUGCUUGGUUUGUUGCUGUUACUUUUGAAGUCCCUGAUGCCAUGUAUUUGAUCUGUAAUUGCCACGCAUAAAAGGAUAAGUUUUUGCUAUAUGUUGAGCUGAGUUUUCUGCUACAUUUUGUUCUAUGUUGAUUUUCGUGGCCAAACGCCUACUGACAGCUGAAGCAUCUCUAUGUACUUUAUUUUCUUCUUAUCAAUACGCACGGUAAAC